UCAGGGCGGUCUGACAGGCGCGUCCCCGCCUCCUCACAGGCCGCCCCGCCGCCGCAGAGCGCCUUUGUAGCUUCUCUUUAAAGCAAAAUAUCGUAAAAUGAGCUCUCCUUCUGACAAACGCGGUGUUCUCGGGCCGUUUUGGCGUGAUUUGAGGGGGUACAUCGAGCUGCCGCCAUUUCGGCCGGGUGCCGCCCCUCACCUCAGCGCGGCUCUGCUGGGUGCUGCUGCUUGGAGGUGAGCCUGAAUCAGCCAGGACUGAUCACCCACAGCUCUUCUGCUGCUUAAUGCUGACCUUGGGAGAGAAGUAGUGCAGAUGUACGGAAAGUUCGCAUCUGUUUGUGAGCUUGGGUGUUUCCAGCAGGCAGAAAAAAGCAAUGUAGGCAGUUCCUUCUGUCCUUCCCGAAGAGGGCUCCAAUUCAGGAAGAACUGAACAGCCACAUUUUAAAAUGUUUCAGCCUGAGGAUGGUCUAGGAUGCUGUGUCCUUCUCCAGGGUCACACAAAGCAGGCAUGCCCUUUCCAAAAAACCUACGUCAUAUUCAUAGAUUUUGAAUCUGCAAGUUCCUGAAGCUUCAGCAGGAGUCAACAGGUGUCCAGAGCACUGGCAAAUGGUCUGCAGAGAGUCAACAGUUUGCAGGACCAGGCUGCUUCCCUCUGUGUAUGAGAACCCCUCCCGCUUUUCCUGCCUUCUGAGCUGUUCAUCACCUGACAUCGACUUCUCCUGUCAUUAUUCUUGCGCUCUCCAUGACAUUUCAUAGCUAAGAACAAACGCCUCCGGAAAGCUUUGGGAUUUGGGAAGAGCAGGAGGGUUCAGCAUAAGGGAGGAGCAUUUACCCUUCCUGGAGUAAACUGAAGAAGCCCUUUUGAAAGGAAUGGGCUGCAGAGAAGAGUGAAAAACACAGGGACAUACAUCUGUCCCCAAGGGCCUGAUCCUGCCCCUCACUGAAGGCUGUUAGC